ACCACCACCAGCUCCACUUCCCUCCGGUUUCCGCCGCCCGCCGAAGCCGCCCGCGGCCGGGCGCGCCCUUUCCUCCCUUCCCGCGCGCUGGCCGUGGCCGGCCUGCUCCUCCUCUCUUCGUCCGGGGCCCCGGGUCGUGCCUUCUGCCCCGCCUCGCCUCCUCGCGCCUGGUUUGGAUUCGCUCGCCCUCGAUUCGCCGUCCGUUUAGGUUUAGAACUGCGCCUGAUUGGGUUUCUGCUCGUGCUCGAUUCGUCCGUCUGGAAUUGCGCCCGGUUUGAUUUUGCUCGUCCUCGCCGUCGUCUGCUCGGGGUCGCGCCCGGUUUGACUUUGCUCGUCCUCGCCGUCGUCGUCUGUGUGGAGUCGCGCCCGGUUCGAUUUUGCUCGUCCUCGCCGUCGUCCGUUUAGAGUCGCGUCCGGUUCGAUAUCGCUCGUCCUCGCCGUUGUCCAGACGCGCUCGCGUGUUCUUGGUCCGUCUCGCCUCGUCGGGGGUCUCCGUCUCGAUUCUUUUAUCCGAGAGGCACUCCGGGUCCUGGGUUCCGUGUUCGCGUCGGUUGCAGGAACGAACGAGGUCUGGUUUCGAAAUUGGAUUACGGCCGGAGACGGGGAGCGAUGUUUGUUUAUCGUGCUAGUUCAGACCGGUUCCUCGGUUACGUCACCUGCGUUGCUGUCUUGUGAUACUCUGUCAACUCUUGGCCCUCUGUCAGUUCUUGUUGACCCUCUGUCAAUUCUUUGAGUUCCAGGGUCCGCUAAUUCUUGAGUUCUUGCUGUACCGGUUAGGCCUUAGGCGUGUGUGCUCUCAUCUUAGAUGGGGUGAUUCCUUAGUUCUAAUGGUGUAUACUGUUUAUGUUCUUUCCAAUUUGUUUCUUUUUUAUCAUGCUUUGCUUCGUUUUGCGUGCUGCUUGACUAAUUGAACACUUGCUGCUUGACUAAUUGUGAACACCUGCUGCUGCUACUGUUGGACAAGGUUCCUUCUAUUCUUCCUGAUGUUGCUAUUUCCAUUCAAGUACUCAUAGGAGUUCUAGAUGAGCUGCUGCUAGUUAGUUCCCCUUAGACUGCAUUCUAGAUUGCAUAGCAUAACUCCAGAAUUUUUGUCAUUGCACACCUGGGCAUAUAUAUAUUUCUGUUGUGACCAUAACUCCAGAAUUUACUUAUCCAUGAAAGCACGUUCCUCGCAUGUUUUUUAUCAAUGAUGCUAAACUCUGUCAUGUCCCUUUCCUUUGGACAACAAUUUCAACAAACCUGUAACGUGGACAUGUGCUGCUUGUUUUCUUGUGAUGAUGAUAUCCAAUUGACUAGCCCAACUCUUAUGCUCUGACAUUUGUUAAUCCCCAGUUAAGUUUUAUGGCAUCAACCCUUAUUGUGAUUAAUGACCUAGUAUUUGUUUAGUGUAGACAGUUGGCUUCUUUUUUCUUAAAUUUUUAGUGAUAUGCGUGUUUUGUUAUGUCUUAUGUUGAAUAAUGACCUAGUAUUACUCAUGUCCAGUCACUGGAAUAAUGCUUUUCAUGGUUUUCCUAGACUUUGUGACAAUUAAUUUAUAGUGCUAUCUUUUUUCAUUGAUCAUUGAGCUUCUGACAUCCUAUUGCGUAAAAUUCUGUUGUAAUGUUUGUUUGAUCAUUGAGUGGUUAAUAUUGAUUCUGCGUGCACUUCUGUUAUCUGAGAGACACUCACAAAGUUAUGAUCCUGCGUUUCGUGUUUGCGGUGGAGCGAUGAACGAUUACGUUUCGUGUUCCUGCAUUUUGUGUUCGCCGUCUGGUUUUGAAUGUGGAUUACGGAGACGGGGAGAGGCCAGCAAGGUCAGUUUUAGAUCGGUCCUGUUGCUGUGUUGUUCGUCGGCGAUUUCCAGACCUCAAACGCCUGCGCCCUUGUGAUACUCAGGUUUGGCUCGCUGGUCGUUACGGUUGUUCUUAUGUUCUUGAAUAACCCCAUCUUAUACACAGAGAUGAGGUGAUUCGUUAGGGUUCUUCUGAUGGUUGCUUAUGUUCUUUUGAAUUGAGUUCUUCUUGUAAUGCUUUGCUUAUGUUCCCGGUGUCUUUCCAUGUGUGGGGAUGCGUUGAGAGGUGCAAACCGUGUAGGCCGUGGUGUUUUUAUACUAUCUAUGGUGUGUUUUAUACUAUCUUAUGUGGAAUGUAGAAAUAUUGAUAUCACUUCUGUGCUAGUAUACUAGAUAUGGUGUGUUUUAUGUUUUAUCCAAGUUACUAACCACAUCUCUUACAAAUUUUCCUUGAGAUGGUACAUGUUUAUAUGACAGGAGUGAUUGAUGUCUUGACGAAUAGUGCAGAGUACUUGAUCAUAGGUACCAGACCAGUACUUGAUCAUAGGUACCAGACCAGUACUUGUUAGUGCAGACAACUGACUAUAUUUUUUAGGUUGUAGUGAUUAGAGAGAAGGUUGCAGAACUGUAUGAAUCUGAACAACAAUGGUUGAGAGCAGCACAAAUGCUUAGUGGCAUUGACUUGGACUCAGGAAUCAGGAUGCUUGAUGACACAAACAAAUUAUCCAAGUGCGUCCAGAUUGCACGACUCUAUUUGGAGGAUGAUGAUGAUGUAGUGAAUGCUGAAGCCUUUAUCAACAAAGCCUCGUUUUUGGUCACAAACAGCAACCGGGAAAUUCUGAACUUACAAUACAAGGUCUGCUAUGCGAGAAUUUUAGAUCUAAAGCGUAAAUUCUUGGAAGCUGCACUUUGAUACUAUGGUAUCUCUCAAAUUGAGCAACGCCAAAUUGGGGAUGAAAAUCUUGAUGCAACAUGUUUCUUAGUGCUGCUGUAACAUGCACAAUAUUGGCUGGUGCUGGCCCACAACGCUCUCGUGUUCUUGCUACAUUGUACAAGGUUGUUCCUGGCUAUGGUCAUGGAGUUCUACGUAAUACAGACCCAAGAUACUCGUGCCAAAGGGAGUUCACAUUGAAAUAUUUACUCAAGGACCCACUUUUCCAACUGGAACGAAGAUCUGAAUCACCCUCACCCCUCUAGAGAAAUCAGUUUACUCAUUCAAGUUCUCGAAAUUCUUUAUAGUUUUCUGGGUUUACUUCGGUCUUGCAUGUAUUAGCUUUCUCUUUGUGCCCCUAUCUAUCCCUGUUUCUUGUGUGCAAGCGCUCCAUUCUGUGUGUGUGACUGUGUGUGGCUUGAUUAUGGGUGUGGCUUGGCUUUGUGUGUGUGGCUUGAUUAUGUGUGUGGCUUGAUUGUAUGUGUGGCUUGAUUAUGUGUGUGGCUUGAUUGUAUGUGUGGCUUGACUGUGUGUGUGGGCUUGACUGUGUGUGUGAGAUUGUGUGUGGCUUGAUGGUGAAUAUGUGUGUGGCUUGACUGUGUGUAUGUGUGUGGCUUGACUAUGUGUGUGGUGUGUGAAUAUUGCAUUUGCUUGAUGGUAUGGCUUGUAUAACUUGUGUUUUAUAUGUCACGAUUGAUUGCUGUUUGUUGAAUGUGAACAGACCUAACACUAUUCUUUUUCAAACUUUUUUGUGAUUAUGUCUUAUGUGGAUAUCAUACUCUUUUUUGUAUUACUGUUGUCCAGUCACUGGAAUAACGCUUUUCUAAGUAUUUAUAAGGUGCAGCCAUGUGGAUCUGGACAUGAUGCUAAGGACACUGAUGGGUUGGGUUUGCAUACAAUGCAGUAUGGACCAACAAAAUGGUCUCAUUGCAAGGUGGACGUAUAGGCACGAAAUGUCAAGAGAGAGCUGAUUGGUAAAUAUGAAGCUGAUUUUGAAUUCAUACGUAUAGAAGAUGAUUGGACUAUCGAGGAGGAACAUGCACUGAUUAAUGCCCAUCAGGUAUAUGGGAAUAGAUGGGCAGAAAUAGCAAAAGUUCUUCCUAGAAGGAAUCGGGUACUUCUAUUUGUUCUCAGGUUCUUCUCACCUAUAGCUAAAGUCAAAGACGACAAACCAAGUGGAUUAUUGAAGUUGCAAGAUGCACAUAAUCAUCGGUCAUCUAAAUCUUCUUUUCUAAUAUGACUGUUGGUGCUGCUCAUGAGGCUAGCCAUUGGCUUGGAAGCGAUGAGAGGCAAUCACUGUUGUCAACUUGAAACGUAUAAUUUUUUAGGAACGAAGAUCUGAAUCACCCUCACGCCUCGAGAGAAAUCAGUUUACUCAUUCAGGUUCUGGUAUUUCUUUAUAGCUUUCUGAGUUUACUUCGGUCUUGCAUGUAUUUGCUUUCUGUUUGUGCCCCUAUCUAUUUCUGUUUCUUGUGUGCAAGCGCUUCAUUCUGUGUGUGUCCGACUUUGUGUGGCUUGACUCUCUUGUGUGUGUGGCUUGACUGUCUAUGUGUGUGUGGCUUGACUGUCUAUGUGUGUCACUAUGUGUUUGACUGUGUGUGAAUAUUGCAUUUGACUGUGAUGCGUGACUGUGUGUCUGACUCUGUGUGUGUGAUUGUGUGAAUAUUGUGCAUUUGACUGUGAUGUGUGACUGUGUGAGUAUUGCAUUUUGACUAUGACUGUGGCUUGACUCUGUGUGUGUGGCUUGUAUGCUUUGUUGAAUGAUUGGUU